rnacentral:rRNA from 1 species
AUGAGGAUGAAGGUCGCCUUCUUCAACAUGACUAAAUUCAUUGUUGGGAAUGGACGUGAUACUAGAUUUUGGGAGGAUACCUGGUUAGGAGAAUCCCCGCUGGCCUUGCAGUAUCCAUCCCUUUACAACAUUGCACAACAGAAAGAGGUCUCCGUUGCUACAGUGUUGGGAUCCAUUCCUCUUAACAUGCAGUUUCGGCGGUCAGUUAUAGGUGAGUGGUGGGAUAGAUGGCUACAUCUUGUGCGUAGGUUAAUGGAGGUUAACCUGUCGGAUGUACCAGACACUCUGCAAUGGAAGCUCUCCAGGUCAGGAGUUUUCUCGGUUAAAUCCAUGUACACGGAUUUGAUUAAUAUCGGGACUAUCCUGAGGACGGUUCAUAUUUGGAAAGUUAAGGUGCCUUUGAAAAUAAAAGUGCUUAUGUGA